rfam:Oryza glumipatula chromosome 11, whole genome shotgun sequence.
GAUUUCAACUUAAAAAUUCGUCAACAACAAAGUUGUAUAACUCAUCAAGAUCUAUAACUUUUAUUUUAUUCAUUUUUUCAUCCGAUAAAGUGAUAGUAACAUUGUUCACAAAAUUCACAUAUCUCUCAUUUGGUUUUAUAAACUAUAACACAGAUAUGUGAAUUUUGUGAACAAUGUUAAUAACACUUUGUCGGAUGAAGAAAUGACAAACAUAAAAGUUAUAGAUCUUGGUGAGUUAUACAACUUUGUUGUUGAUGACUUUUUCUGUUCAAAUC